AGUCUUAUAUUCAUUAUAAUGAUAUAAAAUUGCAAAUUUUAAGGUAUAAAAUAUUAUUUAUUAAGGCUU
rnacentral:tRNA from 1 species